CCCUUAGAUGUUCUGGGCCGCACGCGCGCUACACUGACGAAUGCAACGAGCUUAUAACCUUGGCCGAAAGGUCUGGGUAAUCUCCAAAUUUCGUCGUGAUGGGGAUAGAUUAUUGCAAUUAUUAAUCUUCAACGAGGAAUGCCUAGUAAGCGCAAGUCAUCAGCUUGCGUUGAUUACGUCCCUGCCCUUUGUACACACCGCCCGUCGUUCCUACCGAUUGAAUGGUCCGGUGAAAUCUCGGGACGGCGGCUCGGUCGCUUGCGUCCGACUGCUGAAACUUGAUUAAACCAUAUCAUUUAGAGGAAGGUGAAGUCGUANCA
rnacentral:rRNA from 1 species